AGGCAGGUUUAAAGAGGGCAUGAGGGAGGUGGAGUGUGGAACAGAUCAAAAGUUCUUUCCUAAAUGUCCUUUGUCGUGACUUUGCCGUGUUUGAUGUCUACACUGUUGACUCUCUCACUCUUUCUCUACCUCGCUUUCGCUCUCUCUCUCUCAUUUCAAAGAGAGGGAAGAGUCAUCUGCCUCCCGUGGUCUGCCAACGCACAGACCACCAUGGGAAGUGAAGGAGCGAAAAAGAAAGAGGAAGAAAAAGAUAACUGCAGAGAUUGGACAGUCGGGAGCUUUUGAAGAGAAGAAAGACAGAAUUCUGCCCCAAGAACAGCGAUAACGGACAUGGGGUCCCACUGGGGGAUGGGCCGGAGGGGUAUAUAUGAAAUAUGAAAGAAGAAGACAGUUUUAUCUGUUUGCAGAACAUGUGGACAGUGUAGACUGUUGUCCUUUCACCUGGAGCCAAAGCUCAUGAACUACAUGGUUGAGAGCAUUGGGAAAUCUGCAUCCUUCUUUACGGGUUGCUCCACUUCAGUCACUUUCCCAGGUGGAGCGGCAUCCGGAACGCUAUCCGGUCUGGCACCAAACUACCAUGCUGGCUUUCCAGAACUUUCUGCCGUGUCCUCUCCCUCUUUCUCCUGUUUGUAUCCAAAUAGUAGGAUGCCAUACGUCCUUUUUUCUCAUGAAAGUCUGAUCAUAAUCAACAGCUGAAUAAGAAAUAUCAAUACACCACUACAGCGUGCCUUAAAAACCUAGAAAUGAGAACACACACCUGUGUAUGGGUGUUUCUUCAACUUUUGACACUUUAUGUCCCAGGAGGAGAUUUUUAUUAAAACUAACAAAUUUUUGUCUAAGCUAUAGGCUUUUGGGCAGUGCUCUGACAUAUGGCACAACAGCAACAGUAACACAUUUUUUAUCUUACUUCUAUUAUAUGAAGGUCACAUUAAAACUUUCAUGUCUUCAAUUAAUUUUGGGUACUU
rnacentral:lncRNA from 1 species